CUAAAGGAGAAUUUGGUGUCU
rnacentral:siRNA from 1 species